UCCUUUUUCUUGCAGCGAGGGCGGCUUCAAAAUCCAGUGGGUGGAUGAUACCCACGCCCUGGGAAUCUUCUCCAGCCUCUCCGCAGCGUCGCAGGCCCUGGGCCGCCGUUACCCCUGCCUGAGGAUCCGGCCCCUGAUCCACGCCUCCAAGCAGGCCAAGCUCAAGGCGCUCCAGAGACCAAAAUUGCUGCAGCUGGGGAAGGAGAGGCCGCAGACGGACACGGCGGUGGCCAGGAGACUCGUGUCCCACGCCCUGGGCUGGAGGCACAGGCAGCACGAGCCCACAGGGACUGAAGUUUUCCAGCCAGAAUCCUUGGAUCAGGAGGAAUAAUUCCCAAAAAAACCCCAAAAAAACCCCCCAAAAAAAGGCUGUAAAGAUGAGCAUGGCUGUGCUAUUAAAUGCAUGCAGAGCAGGCAGCGCCACGGGGGUGUUCCUUUAUGGAUCAGCUUGGGAAAGUUGGGAAUGGGAAUUCUUGUUGGGUUGUUUUUGUUUUUGGAGCCCUGGGAAGCGCUGGAAUUCUUUGUUCGCCUGCAGGAACGAGGUGGUUUCUUUAUUCCUUAUUCCUGCUCAGUUUUCCAACAAAAAGUAGGCAUUAAGAGUAAGAAAAUCUGAAUUAUUGGGGGGCCAAAAUUCAACUCUAAACAAGGGCGGGAGUUCAAAAAUCUGUUCCACGUUUGUUGUAAUGUUGCUGUUCAGGUAUCCCAGAAAACUGACAGGCAGUGAAUUCAAGUUUUAGGGAAUUCUUUCCUUAUUUAUAGAGUUUCAAGAGCCUGAACUUCCCUGUUGGUGAGGAAAGUUGGGAUCUGCUCAUUAGGGAAAAAAAACCUCCAGAAUUUGCCUGUGUUGAUGUGCCCAGAGCUGGGUUUAAAAUGAGCUUUUCACCCCCAUGCCAAGCUCUGCUGGUGCUCCAGUCUGGAAUUCUGAGGGAGAACUGGAAUUUUCCAAUUGCCAGGAGGUUAAAACCCUUUGCCAGCUGGAGAAAUGACAAAUGCUCAAAAUAUUUCUGCAUUUUUAAGCCUCACAAACAUCCCUGUGAGCUGGGGUUUGGGGGAAGUUUGCAGCCAGUUGGAAUCCCUGUGGAAUCAGCUGGAAUUCCAGGGAAAAGGUUUUUAUUGGAGCUCUGUAGCAAAGUGUGUCCUCAAACAAACAGAGGAGAACUGGGAAUUCCCACAGAGGCAGAAAUUCCCUCUGCGAGGUGCACCAGGAUAAUUCAUCCUUGGAAAAAAAAAGAUGGAAUAUCCAGGCAGGAGGGAUGGGCACAGCAGCUGGUGGCUGGAGGAUCCCUGUGGGAUGGGAAUUCCCAACCCAGAGGCCUCAUCCUUGGGAAUCUGCAGAGUUCUGGGUGCUGAGGGGUUGCUUCAGGGAGCUUUGAUUCCCUGUGAGAUUCCCUGUGAAAUUCCACGUGAAAUUCCCUGUGAAAUUUCCACAUUCUGCCGUUUGCUCCCCUCCGGAGCGUUGGAUCCAAGUGUUUCACUGCAGUAUUAAAUUCAGCUUUACACUGUUCUGCUCACAAAAA